GGGUGGGGUCACAGAGGAAGUAGGAUUUUGCAUAAAAGGAGUCGAUACAACGACAAUGGCACACUCCAGUCGGUCGAGUUUGUGAGAAUUGAAAAAAGAACAUAGUGAUAAGGGGGAAAAAAAUCAACAGGAUGGCCUGCCCAAAAAUUUUCACUCUACUCGUCCUCUUGGUUUUUAUCGGCAUGAGUUUUGCACGGCCCGGAUAUCUUGGUGGAUAUGGGUAUGGAGGGUAUGGCCAUGGGUUAGGGUAUUACGGCUAUAGAUAUCCGUUUUAUGGCUAUGGACACGGCUAUGGUGGACACUAUGGAUACCCUUUUUACGGACACGGUUUCGGAUACUACGGUCACUAUCUGUAAAACAUAAGCUACAUAGAUUUGGAUACUAUUUCUAACGCGACUCGACCAGUGAUGACAAACAGCAUGCACAGAUUUACAAUUUUUACUCUUGCCUACAUCUAUUUUUUAUAACUUUUUUAAUGUUAAAAAUUUAAUAAAUGCAAAUUAUCUUAA